rnacentral:rRNA from 1 species
AAUUCGCCCUUAGAGUUUGAUCAUGGCUCAGAUUGAACGCUGGCGGCAUGCCUUACACAUGCAAGUCGAACGGUAACGCGGGGCAACCUGGCGACGAGUGGCGAACGGGUGAGUAAUAUAUCGGAACGUGCCCAGUCGUGGGGGAUAACUGCUCGAAAGAGCAGCUAAUACCGCAUACGACCUGAGGGUGAAAGCGGGGGAUCUUCGGACCUCGCGCGAUUGGAGCGGCCGAUAUCAGAUUAGGUAGUUGGUGGGGUAAAGGCCUACCAAGCCGACGAUCUGUAGCUGGUCUGAGAGGACGACCAGCCACACUGGGACUGAGACACGGCCCAGACUCCUACGGGAGGCAGCAGUGGGGAAUUUUGGACAAUGGGGGCAACCCUGAUCCAGCCAUGCCGCGUGCGGGAAGAAGGCCUUCGGGUUGUAAACCGCUUUUGUCAGGGAAGAAAUCCUUUGGGCUAAUAACUCGGAGGGAUGACGGUA